rnacentral:lncRNA from 1 species
AUGUACAGUGUAACCAAGGAAAGAGAUGAUCUUAAAAAUAAAUUGAAAACAGAAGAGGAGAAAGGAAAUGAUCUCCUGUCAAAAGUUAGUAUGUUGAAAACUAGGCUCCAAUCAUUGGAAGCAAUCGAGAAAGAUUUUCUUAAAAAUAAAUUAAAUCAAGACUCUGGUAAAUCCACAACGGCCUUACACCAAGAAAACAAUAAGAUUAAAGAGCUCUCUCAAGAAGUGGAAAGACUGAAACUGAAACUAAAGGAUAUGAAAGCCAUUGAGGAUGACCUCAUGAAAACAGAAGAUGAGUAUGAGACUCUAGAACGAAGGUAUGCUGAUGAACGAGACAAAGCUCAAUUUUUAUCUGAAGAGCUAGAACAUGUUAAAAUGGAACUUGCUAAGUACAAGUUAGCAGAAAAGACAGAGUCCAGCCAUGAACAAUGGCUUUUUAAAAGGCUUCAAGAAGAAGAAGCUAAGUCUGGGCAUCUCUCAAGAGAAGUGGAUACAUUAAAAGAGAAAAUUCAUGAGUACAUGGCAACAGAGGACCUAAUAUGCCACCUCCAGGGAGAUCACUCAGUUCUGCAAAAGAAACUAAAUCAACAAGAAAACAGGAACAGAGAUUUAGGCCGAGAGAUUGAAAACCUCAAUAAAGAAUUAGAACGGUACCGGCAUUUUAAUAAGAGCCACUGGCCCACUCUCAAUGGAAGAAGAAUCUCUGACCCUCAAGUAUUUUCUAAAGAAGUCCAAACAGAAGCAGUAGACAAUGAACCACCAGACUACAAGAGUCUCAUUCCUCUGGAACAAGCAGUCAUCAAUGGUCAGUUAUAUGAGGAGAGUGAGGACCAGGAUGAAGACCCUAAUGAGGAAUCUGUACUAUCCUUCAAAUGCAACCCAUCAGGUCCCCUUCCUGUAAACAGGAAGCUAUGGAUUCCUUGGAUGAAAUCUAAGGAGGGCCCUCCUCAGAAUGGAAAAAUACAAACUAAACACAAUGGCAACUUUGUGCAACCUGGAGAUCUAGUCCUCAGCCAUACACCUGGGCAGCCACUUCAUAUAAAGGUUACUCCAGACCAUAUACAAAACACGGCUACUCUUGAAAUCACAAGUCCUACCACAGAGAGUCCACACUGUUACACAAGUACUGCAGUGAUACCAAACUGUGGCAUUCCAAAGCAAAGGAUAACUAUUCUCCAAAAUGCUUCCAUAACACCAGUGAAGUCCAAAACUUCUACCGAAGGCCUCAUGAAUUUAGAGCAAGGUGUAUCCCCAAUUACCAUGGCAACCUUUGCCAGAGCACAGACCCCAGAGUCUUGUGAUUCUAUAACUCCAGAAAGGACAAUAUCACCUAUUCAGGUUUUGGCUGUGACUGGUUCAACUAGCUCCCCUGAGCAGGGACGCUCCCCAGAGCCAAUAGAAAUCAGUGCCAAGCACGCAAUUUUCAGAGUCUCCCCAGACCGACAGUCAUGGCAGUUUCAACGUUCAAACAGUAAUAGUUCAAGUGUGAUAACUACUGAGGAUAAUAAAAUCCACAUUCACUUAGGGAGUCCUUACAUGCAAGCUGUGGCCAGCCCCGUGAGACCUGCCAGUCCAUCAACACCACUGCAGGAUAACAGAACUCAAGGCAUAACUAAUGGGACACUGAACAAAACAACCAAUAAAGUCACCAGCAGUAUUACUAUCACACCAACAGCCACAACUCUUCCUCGACAAUCACAAAUUACAAUCAAGGAAGUAUGCAAGCAGAGAAUCCCAACAGGGAUCCCUAAACCAAAAUCUACAGGCAUUGCUAAGAUUUCCACUAAAUAUCCUUCAGCGCCUAUGGAUAAGCCUACUUACCAAAAUGGCUGUGGAAAGCUACACAUGAUAAAGACUGUCAACUCUAACACUUUCCUCCACUUGGGAGGGAAAAGGGAUCGAACUUGGGACUUUGCGCUUGAGUGGCAGGCGCUGGAACCAUUGAGCUAAAUCCCCGGCCCUAAAGUACAUUUUUAUAUCAAGCUGGAAUAAGUUUAAGGGCAAGCAAGAACUGAAUAACAAGAUACUGUACAAAGUACAAACUAAAACAAUGUCAGGAAAAAAUGUGCAUUUCUAUGGCAACCACCAGAAAUUCAUCUUUGAAUGGUAAUAAAGUUCCUUUAUGAUGAAAGUGUUUAAAAUGUUCUAUUUUAACAAAAGAAUUACUAAAAAAAGAGCUUAUUUUAAGCAAUAUUGUAAUACCAUAAAAGUGAAAAUACAACAUAACUGGGAAUUGUCUUGAAAGUACAAUUUGGAGACUACCAAAAUGGUGUUUAACAUAUACAAAGAUCAACCAAAACAUAAAAAUCCUGCCAUUUGAGCAUAGUCCUGUAUCUGCAGAAAUGUAGCUCUUCUGAUGAAAAACAAAAUAGUUCUAAUAAUUCUAAGUGACUAUAGUUAAUUAAAUUUUUAAAAGUAAGCAGAUAAAAAUCCAAAUGAAUGAAAAUAAAUGAAAUUUUAAAAAAUUCUUUAAAGUCCAAUACCUUUAUGUUAGAAUCUUUUCCCAAAUCUUCAUUUAUUAGCUUCAAUGACCUCUUGAAAUACUCUUAAAACUUUAUCCUUCUUCUAGGGAAAUAUAUAAUUCAGAGUCCAACUUUGGGGUAGGAAUGGGGUCUGUAAACUCUAACCAGUAGGCCAAAUUCAGCCCAACAUCUAGUUUUGUGUGGUUUGCAAGCUAAGAGUAUUUUUAUAUUUUAAAGGUUGGGGAAAAAAAAAUCAAGACUAUUUUUUGAUGUGAAAAUUACUUAAAAUUCAAAUUUCACUGCUCAUAAACUUUUAUAGGAACAUAUUUAUAUUUACUUAUUAUUUAUGACUGCUUAUAUACAGCAACAGUGGAGCUGAAUAGUUCUGACAGUAAACAUCAGAUCUGCAAAGCCUAAAGUAGAUUUUACAAAAAAAUUUUUCCAACUCCUGGGGUAGCAUGAACUAGACCUACAAGGAACGCAGGAAUAAAAGCAUCAUCAAUUGCUAAUUAUUAAAAGCAAUACUUAAGCGACUUAAGACCAGAAAGAUGCUGAAAAGAGAAAAACAUUUCAAGCUGUCAGUGAUUACAUUUAAUAAAAUGUUAAUUCUAUGAAUGCAUCUAACAUGUUUCACUAAAGGACAUAAGAUUAAAAACAGAUCAAAGGAUUUGUGCCACAAGAUAAUAUAAUGUAUUAUUACUAAAUCUGAGGGGGAAAAUAAAAGUACUUAUAGGCCUUCCACAUUCAUGAAUGUUUUACAAAAGUUAUGGACACUCUGACAAUUUAUAGCAGUAAUUGCAUAAUUUGGGGAAAGAUAUGUAUACCUGAACCUUUAAACUUUUAUAAUUUUUGCCAAGAAUCAUUCCUUUAAUCAUUUGCAAGAAUUAUGGAAAUUAAAUAAAGUAAAACUAGCCCAUGAGGUUAUCUGAAGGUCCAUUUGUUAUAUCUUCAAAUAUAGAACUGUCUAUUAAUGUAGCCACCUUUCUCUUUCCUUCACUUUAAAAAAUUCAUUCUGCCUAACUUGCUCUUGAAUGUUUUUAUAUUAUUUGCCUUUUGACUGAACAACAUCAAUGUAUAAAUCCUAUAACGUUUUCUUCCUCUAACUCUGUUUUAAAUACUAAGUUCA